rnacentral:snRNA from 8 species
AUACUUACCUGGCAAGGGAGAUACCGUGAUCAAGAAGGCGGUUCACCCAGGGCGAGGCUCAACCAUUGCACUCCGGCUGUGCUGACCCCUGCGAAUUUCCCAAAUGUGGAAAUCUCGAUUGCAUAAUUUAUGGGAGUGGGGGACUGCGUUCGCGCUCGCCCCUG